CGGUCUCACAUCAAAGGCGCCCCACUCGCGCGGGAGAGGAUGAGCUGAUCUCCAUGGCCAGAUGAGGGAGGAAUACGGGUGACGGGAUGGAUUUGGAUCUCAAGGCGGGGAGGCCAACGUAGCCGCCCCUAGCGCGUCGAGCGAAAGCGAAGGAUUUGGAUCUCAUGGAUUUGGCUGCGUCGACCAGCAGAGGACCGCCGCCGGCUCAGCUCCUCCACCACGAAGCAACCUCCUUCCACCCCAUAGCCGCCGCCCAAAACCCUAGCAAUCGAGCCCCACCCAUGGCGCCCUAGGUGGUACAGCGGCCAGAGGAGAGGAGAGGAGGUGGAGCAGCCAUCGCCUGGACGUGAGCGAUGGCAGCGGUGAAUGGGCAGCGCGGGCGUUGAGCAGGAUCAUGGGGGAGCAGGGGAGGCCAGAGGCUGCUCACCAUAUACAUCGCCAUCCAUAGCCGCCCUCGUCCGCCAAGAAGCUGAGGAGGGAGGCUGACCUCCAGUGACCACUCUGCACCGCUCUGGACGACACCCUCCCCCACCAGGUUCAUCCUCCUAAUUCGUUUUAAUCAUCCCAAAUUUUUUUGUCUUACCACAGUUAAGAAAUAUGAUUCAUGUUUGCUAUUGCAUUUGGAGCUCCAUCCUUACAACUUAUGGAUAAUAUGAAUACAUCAAGGUGUUUUGGUUCUCCCCAUUCCGUAUGUUCGCAAUGGAGUGUAUAUAUUGUUGAUUUAUGUCAUGGUGAUUGAAUUUGA